rnacentral:rRNA from 1 species
GGAGGUAGUGACAAUAAAUCUCAAUACGAAGCCUUUGGUUUUGUAAUUGAAUUGAGAACAAUGUACAAUCGUUAUCGAUAAACAAUUGGAGGGCAAGUCUGGUGCCAGCAGCCGCGGUAAUUCCAGCUCCAAUAGCGUAUAUUAACGUUGUUGCAGUUAAAAAGCUCGUAGUUGAAGUUUAGAUAAUUUAUUGAAAGUGUUUGUAUUCGUACAUUCUACUUUUAUGUAAGUUAUCGACAUCCAGGUGGGUGCCCUGAUUCCUUCGGGGGUCGUGGUACUAGACUGGUCAUUUACUGUGAGAAAAUUAGAGUGUUUAAAGCAGACUUUUAUUCAGUUUGAAUAGAUUAGCAUGGAAUAAUAAGAUUGGCUUUCAUAGUCGAUUUUUUGGUUUGUUUAUGAAAGCAAGAUUAAUAGGGACAGUUGGGGGUAUUCAUAUUCAAUAGCUAGAGGUGAAAUUCUAUGAUUUAUGGAAGAUGAACAAGUGCGAAAGCA